GUUGAAUUCGUUUUGUGACAAAUUAUAAAUAUUAAUUAAUAAAAUGUUAUUUUAACGAAAAUAAAAAGGAAGUGUUUGUUAUUCUCUUUAGAAAAUAAUAAAUUGUUUAAAAUAUAGUGAAUAUUUAAGAAGAAUUAGACAAAUUUAUUAACCAAAUAAAAUGUACUUUAGUAAACUGCUGUGAAAAAAAUGGCGGUAAAUGUAUUAGGAACUUGUGCUGUGUGUUAAUAAAUAGUGAAGAUAAUUGUGGGAGUUUUAUAAUCAAGUUAGUCCACCUUUUGAAGCCUUUGAAUUCAACUAACGGAAAGUUUUAAGAUAACAGUUUGGUGAACCUCUUUGGACACGUUGACCAUAAGAUGCUUCGCAAAGGAAAUUGCUGUGGAUAACAGAUCAAUUAAUGAUUCUUACCAUUUGUUUGUGUUUUAAAAUUCCGGGAAAUUCUUUGGAAAAAAAUUCUCCAGAAUUUGUAUACGUGAUUUCGUUUAAUAUCAUUAUUAAAUGAUGUUGCAAUUACAACUAAUGAAGUCCAGUUCCAGUUUCAUUGCUCUUGUAUAAAAAGGAUUAUGUUUUAAUGAUCUGGUCUCAAAAAAAAAACAAAAAGCUCUUAAAAAGUAGAACUGCUAUCAAGGAACGCGUUUUGACUUUUACGGCAAAGAACAACAACUACUUAAGCAAAAGUUCCUAAUUAUGAGAAAUAAGAAAAUAGUAAAACCUGCAAAAUACAAAAUAAAAUAAAGUUAAUAAAAAAUAAAUAAAAUUAUUAAAAACAACA